rnacentral:lncRNA from 1 species
UACACAUCUUGUUCCAUAAAAUCUUCCUUUCAUGUGAGUAUUUCAUGAAAACUAUCAUUUUCCAAACUUUACUUCUCUUUGAUUAUUUACCAACCAAUCAUCCCACAUAAUCAAAUCCAUUAAUUUACCGUACUUUCUUAAAUCACUACUUUAUAAACAUACAACCUCUACAUACAACUUAAUCCAUUCCUUAUUAAAUCGCUUUAUUCCCUUUUUAAUUUCCAUAUGGCAGAACAUAGUCUCAUUUACCGAUUUAUUUACAGAAUAUGUUUUCCACAUUCAUUUCCCCACUACAUUGGCACAAUAACAUACUACCUUCCAACAUCUUGAAUUUACACUAUAAAUACUGUCCCUUUUUAUUUUGCUCUGUAAUAUCAAAAUUACUAAAUCAAGAACAUACCACAUUCAGGCUAAAUUGAAUUCCAAUUAAACACAAUUCAUCUCUUCUUCAUCAGUUUACUACUGCCACACUAACAUCAAGCUAUGCAAUUAGGUAUGUUCCCUUCUUAAUACUUCCAACCACUAGACAUAUACAUGUGCCAAAACAAUUCAUUAAUUGACUCAAAUCCUCACCUGCCUUUUGAUUUCUUUAUUUAAAUUUCAAUUUUAACCCCAUUUACUUACUGAUUUUUUUUUUUUUUUUUUUUGUUCUUUUCACAAAGCUCCAACCCGAAAAUUCAUAAAUAUUUGAUUCACAUAACUUAAAAGCUUCAAAAAUGGUUUACCCAUACUAAACCAUCAAGAAUUUGAACUUCUUUA